GAUGAACGCUGGCGGCGUGCCUAAUACAUGCAAGUCGAGCGAACAGACGAGGAGCUUGCUCCUCUGACGUUAUCGGCGGACGGGUGAGUAACACGUGGAUAACCUACCUAUAAGACUGGGAUAACUUCGGGAAACCGGAGCUAAUACCGGAUAACAUGUUGAACCGCAUGGUUCAACAGUGAAAGACGGUCUUGCUGUCACUUAUAGAUGGAUCCGCGCCGCAUUAGCUAGUUGGUAAGGUAACGGCUUACCAAGGCAACGAUGCGUAGACGACCUGAGAGGGUGAUCGGCCACACUGGAACUGAGACACGGUCCAGACUCCGACGGGAGGCAGCAGUAGAGAAUCUUCCGCAAUGGGGGAGAGCCUGACGGAGCAACGCCGCGUAAGUGAAGAAGGUCUUCGGAUCGUAAAACUAUGUUAUUAGGGAAGAACAAAUGUGUAAGUAACUAUGCACGUCUUGACGGUACCUAAUCAGAAAGCCACGGCUAACUACGUG
rnacentral:rRNA from 1 species